UACAAGUUAAUGUAGUGUGAGGUACAAGGUAAUGUAGUGUGGAGGUACAAGGUAAUGUAGUGUGGAGGUACGAGGUAAUGUAGUGUGGAGGUACUAGGUAAUGUAGUGUGGAGGUACAAGGUAAUGUAGUGUGGAGGUACAAGUUAAUGUAGUGUGGAGGUACAAGGUAAUGUAGUGUGGAGGUACAAGGUAAUGUAGUGUGGAGGUACAAGUUAAUGUAGUGUGGAGGUACAAGGUAAUGUAGUGUGGAGGUACAAGAGUAAUGUAGUGUGGAGGUACAAGGUAUGUAAGUGUGUAGGUACAAGUUAAUGUAGUGUGGAGGUACAAGGUAAUGUAGUGUGGAGGUACAAGGUAAUGUAGUGUGGAGGUACAAGGUAAUGUAGUGUGGAGGUACAAGUUAAUGUAGUGUGGAGGUACAAGGUAAUGUAGUGUGGAGGUACAAGGUAAUGUAGUGUGGAGGUACAAGGUAAUGUAGUGUGGAGGUAUAUCAUCUAAGUCACUAUAUUAAAAAAACAUGAAUUUGUGA